AGUGAUAUAACAGCAUGCUAGUUUAUCUUUUAGUUACCUACCUUAAGCGACUUUCUUUCUUUUCCAAAGGCCAUGAGAAUGGCCGAAACGAAAAGAUUAAUUACCACAAGUACCAUCAAGAUGACACUGGUGAGGAUCAGAAAGGUGCCCAGGACUGGGUCUAAAGCGAAAACCUGGGAAAACAAUAAGAACACUUGCAGUGACUGACAAUUUAGUUUAUACUUUACAAACAUAAGCUAUAUGCUAGUGUUUGGGAUCUUAUCAGAAGAAAAGCUUAUCCGAAGGAAACUUAGGGAGAGAGUCAAAAGAUAAUAAGAAGGAAAAUACUUUUAAAUGGACAGAAGAGCAGGAAUGACUCAUUUUAAGGAGGUUAAGAUAAUUGUGACUGCAGGGCUUUCACAAGAAAACAGGUGAGUUGCAGUGGAAUUGGAAAUGAUUCAAAUGUCACAUGAGUUUUGGCAAAAAAUACAUCUAAUCAUGGAAGCUAAAAGUGGGAGGGGGGUAAGCAAACACUGAAAGAUUAAAUGCAUACCAGAAAUGAGAAUGCACACUGUCUCUGCCAUAUCAAGAAACUACAACCCUAAACACAGGAGCAUUCCAAUAAAAGUUAACAGGUUGGCCACAGAAAACUGGCUUUUUAGUAUUUUUUUUUUUCCAUUGUCAUUUUUAAAGGUACAAGCAUUGAGUUCUGCCAUUCUUUACUUUUCUGCAUACAUAAAUAUCAAGUUCUGGGCUUAUUGGAAUGGUUCCCAUAACAAAAACUGUUGUUUAAAAUUUAGAUGUUCUUUUUCAACAAAUGGUAUUUAUUUUCCCUUGGUAUUGGCCCAUUCAUUGUUGCCACUAGGGCACUGUUUAAAAAUAUCCCAACAGAGGGGUUGAUUACAGUCAAUGCCACCCUGAUGGAAAUCUAUAUGGCAAAAUAUUUUCAAGCACCAAACUGUUUUACCUACUUAAAAAUGAUUAUUAUAACAAUUUCAGGUCAACCAGAUAAUGUGGGCAAUCUCUGAGUUUGUGAUACAAGACUUAUUUCCAAUAAGUUUAUUUUUAUGUACAAUUUUACUGUUUAUUUUUUGUUUGCUCUAUUUGUUUUUUAAUGUUUUUUACUUUAUGUUUACUGUAUUUUUAUGUACAAUUACAUCCAAAGCAGAAAAGUUCCUUUUUUAUCCCCAAAAGGAGGUGUCAGCAAAAA
rnacentral:lncRNA from 1 species